CGGAGUCCUAACCACUGGACUGCCAGGGAAUUCCCAGGAUCACCCAUUAAGCAAGAGAACUUGCAUGGAGGGUUCAUGCUUUGAAGCCCAACGCAAUGAUAGAUAAGGUGCAGGAGGAGAAAAUUCAGAAGUUGGAGUUGCACUGAAACAAGGUAAACUUUUCCAUGGACCAGAAACAGAACAUAAACCCAGAGACUCAAGCCACAGACCUGAUGGAUUCAAAGUCCAGAUGCAGUGGAGAUACCCAGGAGCUUGGCUCUUGUGAAGUGCCAAGGGCAUCCUUCCCCACUGACAGUGUGGUUAUGAGAACCAGAGUUGAGAUUGGACAAAGGUGCCUGGAGCCAACACAUGCUCUACCAGAG